GCGAGGUGGUGGCGCGGGUGCGCACCGUGCUCAGGCGCUGGCGGGCGGUGCCGCCGUCUGCCGGCGGUGCUGCCCUGCCUGCUGCGCU
rnacentral:tRNA from 1 species